AGGAAGUGAAUCUUCACAGGGAAGGAAGCAACAAAACUCUGCCUUUGGCUUUUGCUGGCUGAGCAGGGAAAGGCCUAUAGACACAGGGCAUUGGGCAGGAGCUAGAACAGCCCUCCCUAGAGCACUACAUAAAGCAGCCAAUAUUUUGCAAAGCAUAGGGAAGAGUGAAAGUCAUCCGGGGCAUUUGCAGACACAGCACUAAGAACUUGGUGACAACAGCCCUGAAGCAAAACAGCAGCAUGUACUGGGCAGGGCUUGGGAGAUAAGACAGGACAUCUGAAGCUAAACAUGGUGAGUCCAUUUCCUGGGCUUUCUGGAGCUAUGCAGGGUGAUAGGCUCAUCCUGGCUUGCCCAGGACUCUCGUCGUUUUAGUACUAAAAGUCCUGUGUCCUGGAAACUCCUCAGUCCCAGGCCAGGUGGUUCAGAGUCAGCAGUCCUGGAUGAGUCAGUGCUCUCCUACAAGCAGAGUUAGUUUCUUAACCUCCCUGAGUCACAAUUUUCUCAUUUGUAAAUAAAAUAAGGUAAUAUACUGCCUACUCUAAGUUUUUGUGAAAGUCAAAAGAAAUAAGUCUUGAAAAGGUAAUAGAACCAAAUUUGGCACAUAGUAAUUAUUCAAUGUUAACAGGAAGGAGGGAAGGGAAGGAGGAAGAAAAUGUUAAAAGAUCGUUUUUUAAGGAUCCCCUCUGAAAGCUACAAUCAAAGUGUCAUCCACAAAAUCUUAUCUCAAGCCUUGACUAGAGAAGGACCCACUUCCAAGACCACAGAGUUGAAUGAAUUCAGUCCUUGCAGCCCGUUGAACUGAGGGCCUCCCCAACAUGCUCACCUGCUUCAUCAAAGCCUGCGAGAGAGAGAGUCCACUAGCAAGAGGACAUUGCAGUCUUAUCUAAUGCAAUCACUGAAGUGACAUCCUGUCACCUUGGUCACCUUUUCUAUUCUAUUCAUUAUAAAUGAGUCCCAAGUCCUGCCACACUCAAGUGGAGGGGAUUACACAGGGCUGGAGUACCAGCGGUGGGGAUAAUUUGGGGUCAUCUUAGAGUUCUUCCAUCACACGGGAAUUCUCAGCUCACCAAAUCUGGGAUUCCGCAUCUGGCCAUUCCUUAAGCUGAAGGCCUGGCAUAUUUUUGAGUGUCCAUUUGGAUCAGCUAAUAAACCCAGGGUUUGUCUACUGGCUGGAGGAGUAAGAACUAUAAGGCUAAUUGAAAUGAAUCUACUUAAAAUAGUGACCUGAUUUUUCUAAUAAUUACUGGAAGGUAAGGGUUGAUUGAGACUUUAAAAUAAAACCAAAAAUUAUUCUAAAUUUUUCAUAUUUUAUAUAAGAAAGUUUUGAUUUUUACUGCAACCAUUUUCUAACUCUUAAAAUAAAGAAAGGAUAAUUCAAGUGUUGAUAUUUUCCCAACAUAAAUAUACAGGAACAUAAUGUAGCUUACUUGUAUUUUAUCUUUGAUUUACACAAGAGAAUUUUUAUACAAAUAUUCCAGGCUCAUUAGUUUUCCCAAAGGCUUCUCAUAAUCCUUUGAUAUUUAAAUCAUUCCCUCUUUCAAGUCAUUUUUUAUCUGCCUUGUCGAUACUCUUUUUGUUAAUUUGCCCAACUCAUCUGGAUCUUCCUUUGUCACUGGCUCUGUAAAUUUGAGUAUUUCUCCAAUAAUGCUCCUGUCAACUUUAUGAAACCCUUUGUCUUUUGCAAGAUUUAAAAAUUCCCUUUAUAAUAAGCAUUCUACAGUAAGUGAAGACUCACUAGCAAAUAUAUGAGUGAUGGAUCAAGAGAGACAAAGUGUUAAAAAUUGACAGAUGCAACUUUUAAAAAUGAAAUUCUUGGUUACCAUCUAACAAAGUAAGUACAGGACCUGUAUGCUGAAAACUACAAAACACUAAUGAAGGAAUCAAAGAAAGUGUAAAUAAAUGGAGAGAUAUACCAUGUUCAUGAAUUGGAAGUCUCAGAAUUAUUAAAAUGUAAAUUCUAUCCAAAUUGAUCUAUAGAUUCAACCCAAUCACAAUCAAAAUCCUAACUGGCUGUAUAAAUUGACAAGCUGAUUCCAACAUUCACAUAAAAAUCCAAAGAAUGUAGAAGAGCCAAACAGCUUUGAGAAAAGGAGAAAAAAGUUAAAGGAUUCACAUUAUCUGAUUCCAAGGCUUCUUAUAAAGCUACAGUCAUUGAGUCAGUAUGGUACUGGCAAAAGGAGAGACACAUUCUAUGUAUCUAUCUGUCUAUAUAUCUAUGUGAAAUAUAAUAAAGAGUUCAGAAAUAGAUCCACAAAUAAGAUCAAUUGAAUUUUGGCAAAGAUGAAAAAAUAAUUCAAUGGAGAAAGGACAGAAUUUUCAAUAAAUGAUGCUGAAACAAUUAGACAUCCAUAUGCAGGAAAAAAAUGUUUGACCUAUAUGUUCAUUUUAUACAAAAAAUUAAUUCAAAAAGAAUCAUAGACCUAAAUGUAAAACAUAAAAACUUUUAAACUUUUAAAAUAAAAUAUAGGUAAAAUCUUCGUGACCUACAAUUAGGCAGAGUUCUUGGAGAUGACAUCAAGAAUUUAAUUCAUAAAAAGAAAAAAUUUAUAAGUUGGAUUUCAUUAAAACUAGAAACUUUUGCUCUAAAAAGAGCAAAAUUAAAAUUAUAAGAAUAAAAAGAAAAGCCAUGGACUGUCAUAUGCCUGACAAAGGAUAUACAGACUAUAGGAAGUACUCUCAAACUCAACAGUAAGAAAAUAAGCAACCCAAGUUAAAAAUGGGCAAAAUAUUUGAACAGACACUUCACUAAAGAAGAUUAUAUGGAUGUUAAAUAAGCAUAAAUAAAGAAGAUAUAUGGAUGGCAAAUAAGCAUAAGAUUCUCAGCAUCAUUACUCAUUAGGGAAAUGCACAUUGAAACCACAAUGACAUGCCACUACAUACCUACUAUAAUGGGGAAAAAACUGACAAUACCAACUGCAGAGCCACUGGAGCACUCAUACAUUGCUAAUGGGAAUGCAAAAUGGUAAAACCACUUUACAAAACAGUUUGGGAGUUUCUUAUAAAGUUAUAACACCAAAACCAGAAACAACAAAAUGUCCCUCAACUGGUGAGGGGUGCUAUGGUCUGAAUGUUUCUGUCCUUCCAAAAUUUGUAAGUUGAAACCUAAUCCCCAAUGCAUGGGUAUUUGGAAGUGGGGACUUUAGGGUGGGAUUAAAUUAUGAAGUCAGACCGCUCAUGAACGGGGUCAGUGCCUGAUAUGGUUAGAAUAUGUAACUCUUCCAAAUCUCAUGUUGAAAUAUAGUCUCCAGUGCUGGAAGUGGGGCCUGGUGUGAGGUGUUUGGUCAUGGAGGUGGAUCCCUCAUUAAUGGCUUGGCACAUCCCCUUGGUGAUAAGUGAGCUCUCACUCUGAGUUCAUGUGAGAUCUGGUUGUUUAAAAGUAUGUGGCAUUCCCCCACACACAAUUUUGCCAUGUGAUGUGCCUUCUCCUGCUUUAUCUUCCACCAUGAGUAAAAGCUUCCUGAGGUCUCCCCAGAAGUCGAGGAGAUGCCAGCACCAUGCUUCCUGUACAGUCUGCAGAAUUAUGAGCCAAUAAAACCUCU
rnacentral:lncRNA from 1 species